UAGGGAAUCUUCCACAAUGGACGCAAGUCUGAUGGAGCAACGCCGCGUGAGUGAAGAAGGUUUUCGGAUCGUAAAGCUCUGUUGUUGGUGAAGAAGGAUAGAGGUAGUAACUGGCCUUUAUUUGACGGUAAUCAACCAGAAAGUCACGGCUAACUACGUGCCAGCAGCCGCGGUAAUACGUAGGUGGCAAGCGUUGUCCGGAUUUAUUGGGCGUAAAGCGAGCGCAGGCGGAAGAAUAAGUCUGAUGUGAAAGCCCUCGGCUUAACCGAGGAACUGCAUCGGAAACUGUUUGUCUUGAGUGCAGAAGAAGAGAGUGGAAUUCCAUGUGUAGCGGUGGAAUGCGUAGGUAUAUGGAAGAGCACCAGUGGCGAAGGCGACUCUCUGGUCUGCAACUGACGCUGAGGCUCGAAAGCAUGGGUAGCGAACAGG
rnacentral:rRNA from 1 species